GGAUCAUUACCGAGUUUACAACUCCCAAACCCUUUGUGAACAUACCUAUCGUUGCUUCGGCGGGACUGCCCCGGGUGCCUCGCGCCCCGGAACCAGGCGCCCGCCGGGGACCACAAACUCUUGUCUUUUUUGAGAUUGAUCUGAGUAAACUGAUUAAAUAAAUCAAAACUUUCAACAACGGAUCUCUUGGCUCUGGCAUCGAUGAAGAACGCAGCGAAAUGCGAUAAGUAAUGUGAAUUGCAGAAUUCAGUGAAUCAUCGAAUCUUUGAACGCACAUUGCGCCCGCCAGCAUUCUGGCGGGCAUGCCUGUUCGAGCGUCAUUUCAACCCUCAAGCCCCUCCUUUGCGGGCUUGGUGCUGGGGAUCGACCCUUACCGGUCGGCCCUGAAAUUCAGUGGCGGUCACGCCGCGGCUUCCUCUGCGUAGUAGAUAACACCUCGCAUCGGGACGCGGCGCGGCCACGCCGUAAAGCGGGCGCAAGCCCAACUUUUCUGAAGGUUGACCUCGGAUCAGGUAG
rnacentral:rRNA from 1 species